GACGAACCGUCCAAACGUUAUUCGGAAUUACUGGGCUUAAAGGGUGCGUAGGCGGCGCGGAAAGUUGGGUGUGAAAUCCCUCGGCUCAACCGAGGAACUGCGCCCAAUACUACCGUGCUCGAGGGAGAUAGAGGUAAGCGGAACUUAGGGUGGAGCGGUGAAAUGCGUUGAUAUCCUAAGGAACACCGGUGGCGAAAGCGGCUUACUGGAUCUCUUCUGACGCUGAGGCACGAAAGCUAGGGUAGCGAACGGG
rnacentral:rRNA from 1 species